rnacentral:rRNA from 1 species
AGCCUGAACGCUGGCGGCGUGGCUAAGACAUGCAAGUCGAACGGGUGGCAGCAAUGCCAUCCAGUGGCGAAAGGGUGAGUAAUGUAUCGCUAACGUACCCCGGACUCUGGGAUAGCCGGCCGAAAGGUCGGGUAAUACCGGAUGAGACCACAAGCAGGCAUCUGCUGGUGCUCAAAGGUCCGCCGGUCUGGGAGCGGGCGAUAUCGGUAUCAGCUAGUUGGCGGGUAACGGCCCACCAAGGCGACGACGCGUAACCGGACUGAGAGGUCGGCCGGUCACAUCGGGACUGAGACACUGCCCGGACUCCUACGGGGGCUGCAGUAACGAAUCUUCCGCAAUGCGCGAAAGCGUGACGGAGCGACGCCGCGUGUGGGAUGAAGUCCUUCGGGAUGUAAACCACUGUCAGGGGUUAGAAAGUUCUGAUCAACCCCAGAGGAAGGCACGGCUAACUCUGUGCCAGCAGCCGC